AUUGAACGCUGGCGGCAGGCCUAACACAUGCAAGUCGAACGAGUGGCGGACGGGUGAGUAAUGUCUGGGAAACUGCCUGAUGGAGGGGGAUAACUCCUGGAAACGGUAGCUAAUACCGCAUACCAUCAUAUGUGCCCAGGUGGGAUUGGCUUGUUGGUGGGGUAACGGCUCACCAAGGCGACGAUCCCUAGCUGGUCUGAGCGGAUGACCGGCCACACUGGAACUGAGACACGGCCCAGACUCCUACGGGAGGCAGCAGUGGGGAAUAUUGCACAAUGGGCGCAAGCCUGAUGCAGCAACGCCGCGUGUGUGAAGAAGGCCUUCGGGUUGUAAAGUACUGUCAGCGGGGAGGCGGUACCCGCAGAAGAAGCACCGGCUAACUCCGUGCCAGCAGCCGCGGUAAUUC
rnacentral:rRNA from 1 species